UACGAAGGGGGCUAGCGUUGCUCGGAAUCACUGGGCGUAAAGCGCACGUAGGCGGAUUGCUAAGUCGAACGUGAAAUCCCCGAGCUCAACUCGGGAACUGCGUCCGAUACUGGCGGGCUUGAAUCCGGGAGAGGGAUGCGGAAUUCCAGGUGUAGCGGUGAAAUGCGUAGAUAUCUGGAGGAACACCGGUGGCGAAGGCGGCAUCCUGGACCGGCAUUGACGCUGAGGCGCGAAAGCUAGGGGAGCAAACGGG
rnacentral:rRNA from 1 species